rnacentral:rRNA from 1 species
UACGUAGGUGGCAAGCGUGUCCGGAUUUAUUGGGGUUUAAAGGGUGCGUAGGCGGUCUAUUAAGUCAUGGUGAAAUAUGGCAGCUUAACUGUCAGGGUGCCAUUGAUAUCUGGAUGGACUUGAGUUGAAGUCGAGGUUGGCGGAAUUGACGGUGUAGCGGUGAAAUGCUUAGAUAUCGUCAAGAACACCGAUAGUGAAGACAGCUAACUAGACUUAUACUGA